UGUGUGUGCAUGCCUAUGUGUUUACAUGCAUGUAUGUAUACACACACACACACACACACACACACACACACACAC
rnacentral:miRNA from 1 species